rnacentral:sRNA from 1 species
CUCUUGUCUGUGCGGCUGACCAGUUGGCGACAUGGUGGCACCCGUGCUGGAGACUUCUCACGUGUUUUGCUGCCCAAACCGGGUGCGGGGAGUCCUGAACUGGAGCUCUGGGCCCAGAGGACUUCUGGCCUUUGGCACGUCCUGCUCCGUGGUGCUCUAUGACCCCCUGAAAAGGGUUGUUGUUACCAACUUGAAUGGUCACACCGCCCGAGUCAAUUGCAUACAGUGGAUUUGUAAACAGGAUGGCUCCCCUUCUACUGAAUUAGUUUCUGGAGGAUCUGAUAAUCAAGUGAUUCACUGGGAAAUAGAGGAUAAUCAGCUUUUAAAAGCAGUCCAUCUUCAAGGCCAUGAAGGACCUGUUUAUGCGGUGCAUGCUAUUUACCAGAGGAGGACAUCAGAUCCUGCAUUAUGUACACUGAUCGUUUCUGCAGCUGCAGAUUCUGCUGUUCGACUCUGGUCUAAAAAGGGUCCAGAAGUUGAUCUAACGUAAGAAAAUCUUUGAAAAACACAUUGGUGGCAAGGCAUGUCCUUAGAAAAAGUCUCUUAUCUAGCAGAGUCAUCAGGGCUGCCCUUUG